rnacentral:lncRNA from 10 species
UUCACCUUUGGUUUCGAUAACUUAUAAAUACUCUCUAUGUGAAACAAAUACCAGAUAUAACACAUCAUAUGAAACACCUGAGGGAGACAUUUCUCCUCCACAUAAAUGUAUAGCCUGCCCUAAGUGGUGGUCCCUUGUCCUUCCUGGAUUGUUUUUUCUUAUUAAUUCCUCAGUGGUAGCUCCCUCAAGUUGAACUAGUAUAUACUGUCCAAUUAUAAGCCCCUAUCUACUCCAAAUUACACUCAUCAGUCUGCUAAAUACUCCUUUCAAAGCUCAGUACCAAUUUACAAAGAAAACUCCACAAGACUUAUUUUUAAUCCCACAUCCUGCAUGAAGAACAGACCAUUGGUGUACUCAUUCAUUCUCUCACUCAGUGAACACUUAGAGAAUCAGGAGAUUAUGACAAGCACAUGCUGGGCCCAGACCUGGACAAUUUAACCCCGUUUCCAAAAUCUAGGCCAUGCUUGUGUCUUCCAUACUUAAAGCUACAGAGUAUCUGUUCAGUACAAUACUUGCUUCCUGAAAUUUUUUUGGCCCUGCCUGCAGUUAUUCUGAUCUUCCAUACUGGUGAAGCAGUUGGUAGUUGUUCAUCAGCACAAAAACAGUGCAGAUUCCUUCAUUUUCAUUUUGUUAAAGAGUCCAAAUUUUCAUUUUGAUGAAUUCUAAAAACAUGCAUCUGAUGAAUCUUAAAAAUAUGUAUGUGAAUCUCUAAAGUAUUAACAGCAGACACAGCAGGCA